AACGUAGGACGCAAGCGUUAUCCGGAGUUACUGGGCGUAAAGCGCGGGCAGGCGGCUCGAAACGUCUGAUGUGAAAUUUCCUCGCUCAACGGGGAGAGGCCAUUGGAAACGGUCGAGCUGGAGGGCAGUAGAGGUAGGCGGAAUUCCGGGUGGAGUGGUGAAAUGCGUAGAGAUCCGGAGGAACACCAGAGGCGAAGGCGGCCUACUGGGCUGCACCUGACGCUGAGCCGCGAAAGCCAGGGGAGCGAACGGG
rnacentral:rRNA from 1 species